CACGUAGGCGGACUCUUAAGUCAGGGGUGAAAUCCUGGAGCUCAACUCCAGAACUGCCUUUGAUACUGGGAGUCUUGAGUUCGGGAGAGGUGAGUGGAACUGCGAGUGUAGAGGUGAAAUUCGUAGAUAUUCGCAAGAACACCAGUGGCGAAGGCGGCUCACUGGCCCGAUACUGACGCUGAGGUGAGAAAGCGGUGGGGAGACAAACA
rnacentral:rRNA from 1 species